rnacentral:rRNA from 1 species
AAAAAAAUUGUUAAGCUACUAAGGGCCUACGGUGGAUGCCUUGGUGCUAGGCGUCGAUGAAGGGCGUGAUAAACUGCGAUAAGCUUUGGGUAAUAGUUCUAUGUGUUGAUCCAAAGAUUCCCGAAUCGGGCAACCGGAUAGACANUUUAAUGUCUAUCGAUUGCGUUUGAAUGAAUGCNAUCGGUAACUGGGGGAAGUGAAACAUCUCAGUACCCCAAGGAANAGAAAGAAAAAUCGAUUCUCUGAGUAGCGGCGAGCGAAAUGGGAAUAGCCUAAACCAAAUAUGUGUGAUAGUCUGCGCACGUUGCAUAUUUGGUGUUGUGGGAUAUAAUCGGAGUGGCGUGCAGGUCACUCGGGAAGUUACAAAUAAGUUUUCUAGCUUAAGAACUCUGGAAUAGGUUCACCAUAGAAGGUGAUAGUCCUGUGAGCGAAAGAAAAUUUACUUCCUGGAUUUUNUUCCCGAGUACCACGGGAUAGCCAAACCUGUGGGAAUCUAGGAGGACCAUCUCCUAAGGCUAAAUAUGACCUAGCAACCGAUAGUGAAAAAGUACUGUGAAGGAAAGGUGAAAAGUUCCCCGGGAGGGAAGUGAAAUAGAACCUGAAACCGUAAUGGCCUACAAGCUGUGGAAGUGCUAGACCAAGCUUUGCUUGGNAUGCAUGACCGCGUGCCUUUUGCAUAAUGAGCCGGUGACUUACUCUGUGUAGCAAGAUUAAGCUUUUCUGAAGCGUAGUCGUAGUGAAAACGAGUCUGAAUAGGGCGNAUAGUUGCAUGGAGUAGACCCGAAACUGGGUGAUCUAUCCAUGGGCAAGGCGAAGCGUAUGUAAAAGUACGUGAAGGCCUGAACCCACCAAGGCUGAAAACUUGGGGGAUGACCUGUGGAUCGGAGUGAAAGGCUAAUCAAACCCAGUAAUAGCUGGUUCUCCCCGAAAUAGCUUUAGGGCUAGCCUUAUGUGUUUAGCGGUGGAGGUAGAGCUCUAAUUGGACUAGCGGCCCUACCAGGUUAGCAACUCCAGUUAAACUACAAAUGCCAUCGUUCCAAAGCAUAGGAGUCAGUCAGUGGGGGAUAAGCUCCAUUGACGAAAGGGAAACAGCCCNGACCGCCAGCUAAGGUCCCUAAAUACNAGUUAAGUGGCAAAGGAUGUUUUGUUACAUAGACAGCCAGGAUGUUGGCUUAGAAGCAGCCAUUCAUUUAAAGAGUGCGUAACAGCUCACUGGUCAAGCGACUUUGCACCGAAAAUUUCAGGGGCUUAAACUUGUUACCGAAGCUGCGGAUUGUCCUCGUUUACGAGGAUAGUGGUAGGGGAGCGUUCUAUAGUAGGUUGAAGGAGAAUUGAAAAACUCUCUGGACAAAUUAGAAGUGAUCAUGCCGGCAUGAGUAGCGAUAAAACAAGUGAGAAGCUUGUUCGCCGUAAGCCUAAGGUUUCCUGUGGAAGGCAAGUCCACACAGGGUUAGUCGCGUCCUAAGUCGAGGCUGAAGAGCGUAGACGAUGGGCAACAGGUUAAUAUUCCUGUACCACCACCAGGCGAUUGAAUCUAGGAGAGACGCAAACAUUAGAAUCUACUAGCGGAUGGAAGUGCUAGGUCAAGCGGACGGAGGUUCCGGUUAAUCCCGGAAAUUACCUCUGAAAGUGAUGAGGUGUCCUUAAGGACUGAACUGAUUCGGUUGUUUGCCAAGAAAAGAACUCCGAGAGGACAAAUGGUGGUGUGCGUACCGCAAACCGACACAGGUAGGCAAGGAGAAUAUCCUAAGGCGCUCGAGAGAACUCUCGCUAAGGAACUCGGCAAAAUGGCUCCGUAACUUCGGGAGAAGGAGCGCUUGAGUUGGCUGGUUCGCCAGUCUAGCGAAAGCCGCAGUGAAAAGGCCCAUACGACUGUUUACUAAAAACACAGGUCUGUGCUAAAUCGUAAGAUGAUGUAUACGGACUGACGCCUGCCCGGUGCUGAAAAGUUAAGGAGAGGGGUUAGAGCUUAGGCUCGAAGCUCUGAACCGAAGCUUCAGUAAACGGCGGCGGUAACUAUAACCGUCCUAAGGUAGCGAAAUUCCUCGUCGGGUAAAAUCCGACCUGCACGAAUGGCGUAACGAUAUGGGCACUGUCUCAGCGAGAGACUCGGUGAAAUUGUAUUAUCGGUGAAGAUGCCGAUUACCCGUAAAAAGACGGAAAGACCCCGUGAACCUUUACUAUAGCUUGAUAUUGAAUUUGGAUUUAGCUUGUGUAGGAUAGGUGGGAGACUUUGAAGCUGGAGCGCUAGCCCCAGUGGAGUCGUCCUUGAAAUACCACUCUUGUUGUAUCUAAAUCCUAACUCUGGUUUGUAUAUCCAAGCCGAGGACAGUGUCAGGUGGGUAGUUUGACUGGGGCGGUCGCCUCCUAAAGCGUAACGGAGGCGCCCUAAGGUUCCCUCAGCGUGAUUGGAAACCACGCGUAGAGUGUAAAGGCAUAAGGGAGCUUGACUGCAAGACAGACAUGUCGAGCAGGUGCGAAAGCAGGGCUUAGUGAUCUUGCGAUUCCGUGUGGAAGGGUCGUAACUCAACGGAUAAAAGGUACUCCGGGGAUAACAGGCUUAUCGCGCCCAAGCGCUCACAGCGACGGCGCGGUUUGGCACCUCGAUGUCGGCUCAUCACAUCCUGGGGCUGCAGCAGGUCCCAAGGGUUGGGCUGUUCGCCCAUUAAAGUGGUACGUGAGCUGGGUUUAGAACGUCGUAAGACAGUUCGGUCCCUAUCUUUUACGGGCGUAGGAAAUUUGAGUGGAGCUGCCGCUAGUAUGAGAAGACCGUGGUGGACGAACCUCUGGUGCACCAGUUGUCACGCCUGUGGCAUCGCUGGGUAGCUAUGUUCGGAAGGGAUAAAUGCUGAAAGCAUCUAAGCAUGAAGCCUUCCUCAAGAUAAGAUUUCCCACAGAGUUAAUCUGGUAAGACCCCUUGUAGAUAACGAGGUUGAUAGGCCAANUGUGUAAGCGCGGUGACGUGUUUAGCUAANUGGUACUAAUNGGUCGAGGGCUUAACUUA